UCUACGGGUGGCAGCAGUGGGGGAUAUUGCACAAUGGGGGGAACCCUGAUGCAGCGACGCCGCGUGGGUGAAGGAGCGUUUCGGCGCGUAAAGCCCUAUCGGCAUGGAAGAAGGAGGACGGUACCUGACUAAGAAGCCCCGGCUAACUACGGGCCAGCAGCCGCGGUAAUACGUAGGGGGCAAGCGUUAUCCGGAUAUACUGGGUGUAAAGGGGGCGCAGACGGCAGCGCAAUCCAGGAGUGAAAGCCCGGGGCCGAACCCCGGGACUGCACUUGGAACUGCGCGGCGGGAGUGCAGGAGGGGCAGGCGGAAGUCCUGGUGGAGCGGUGAAAAGCGUAGAUAUC
rnacentral:rRNA from 1 species